rnacentral:ncRNA from 1 species
CGAUCAUUUUCCGCCCUGUCGGCGAGGUCGAGCGAGAGCGUGCAAGUCGGGACCCGAAAGAUGGUGAACUAUGCCUGAGGAGGUUGAAGCCAGAGGAAACUCUGGUGGAGGACCGUAGCGAUUCUGACGUGCAAAUCGAUCGUCAAAUUUGGGUAUAGGGGCGAAAGACUAAUCGAACCGUCUAGUAGCUGGUUCCCUUCGAAGUUUCCCUCAGGAUAGCUGGCGCUCUGUCGCAGUUUUAUCUGGUAAAGCGAAUGAUUAGAGGUCUUGGGGGCGAAACGCCCUCAACCUAUUCUCAAACUUUAAAUUGGUAAGAAGCCCGACUCGCUCGUUUGGAGCCGGGCAUGGAAUGCGAGUGCCAAGUGGGCCACUCUUGGUAAGCAGGACUGGCGAUGCGGGAUGAACCGAACGCCGGGUUAAGGCGCCCGACGCGACGCUCAUCAGAGCCCACAAAAGGUGUUGGUUGAUAUAGACAGCAGGACGGUGGCCAUGGAAGUCGGAAACCGCUAAGGAGUGUGUAACAACUCACCUGCCGAAUCAAUCAGCCCUGAAAAUGGAUGGCGCUGGAGCGUCGGGCCUAUACCCGGCCGUCGCGGCGGUACGAGCAUCCAGUUGGUGCGCUAGGCCGCGACGAGUAGGAGGGCCGCGGCGGCGGGCGUAGAAGCCUAGGGCGCGAGCCCGGGUGG